rnacentral:misc_RNA from 1 species
AACAAGGUUUCCGUAGGUGAACCUGCGGAAGGAUCAUUAUUGUAUAACCGAGGUGCGAGGGCUGUCGCUGACCCGAAAGGUCGUGCACGCCCGAGUGCCCUCACACACAUCCAUCUCACCCCUAUGUGCACCACCGCGUGGGUCCCCCUUUGGCUUGUUCGGAGGGGGGCUUACGUUUUCACACAAACUUUGUAUGCAGUGUAGAAUGUAUUUUUUGUUUUUGCGAUCACGCAAUCAAUACAACUUUCAACAACGGAUCUCUUGGCUCUCGCAUCGAUGAAGAACGCAGCGAAAUGCGAUACGUAAUGUGAAUUGCAGAAUUCAGUGAAUCAUCGAAUCUUUGAACGCACCUUGCGCCCCUUGGCAUUCCGAGGGGCACACCCGUUUGAGUGUCGUGAAAUUCUCAAAAACCUUUUUCUUUUUGGGAAAGGGUUUUUGGACUUGGAGGCUUUUUGCUGGCUUCACCUUGAAGUGAGCUCCUCCUAAAUGAAUCAGUGGGGUCCGCUUUGCCGAUCCUUGACGUGAUAAGAUGUUUCUGCGUCUUUGGGUUUGGCACUGUCACCUGCUUCUAACUGUCUCAUUGACAAUGAUGGUGCUCCGGUCACCACCGCUCUUAUCGGUGGGAGGCUUGACCCACAAAAACAAAACCUUGACCUCAAAUCGGGUGAGACUACCCGCUGAACUUAAGCAUAUCAAUAAGCGGRGGAAAAGAAACUAACAAGGAUUCCCCUAGUAACUGCGAGUGAAGCGGGAAAAGCUCAAAUUUAAAAUCCGGUGGCCUUUGGCCAUCCGAGUUGUAAUUUAGAGAA